rnacentral:rRNA from 1 species
AAUCAACGCUGGCGGCGUGCCUCAGACAUGCAAGUCGAACGAGAAAGUUCCCUUCGGGGAGCGAGUAAAGUGGCGCACGGGUGAGUAACACGUAGGUAAUCUACCUUCGGGUGGGGAAUAACCCAGGGAAACUUGGGCUAACACCGCAUAAUGCAGCGGCACCACAUGGUGACAGUUGUUAAAGCGGGGGAUUUUAGGACCUCGCGCCUGAAGAGGAGCCUGCGGCGGAUUAGCUUGUUGGAAGGUAACGGCUUACCAAGGCGACGAUCCGUAGCCGGCCUGAGAGGGCGGUCGGGCCACACUGACACUGACAUACGGGUCAGACUCCUACGGGAGGCAGCAGUCGGGAAUUUUGGGCAAUGGGCGAAAGCCUGACCCAGCAACGCCGCGU